AAGGUUCCCUGAACGUGCCAAAGGCCCUCUUUCCGGUAUUCGCUUUCAAUCAAAAAAGCCCUCCUUCCCCUCUUUCCAUAUGCGCCCCCCUCCGAGACCCACUCGCGAUGCGUCUGCUCCACAAUCUUUCCGGUGACCUCAACCACAAACAUAGGGAGAAAGUGGUCAUCUGCAGCCUGGAAAGAGCCCUCACCAGCACCUGACCAUGUGGCUCCCUGAUCUGGGACUUGCAGCCUCUAGGACUGUGAGAAACCAGGCUGACUCUUGAGGCUCCAGACCUGCUGGAUACCUCCUGCAAAAACGAAGACAGCUGUGCCUCCACAAAAUGACAUUUUGCAUCUACAACCCUAUUUCAGUUUUCAAGUUUUAAAAAAUGAGCUGCUUGUUAACCGAGCCAGUUUCAGCAUGAAUUAUAGAAAGAUCUCCUCUGUACUAGAAACUAGAAGACAAAGGGCGGCAUAAGUACAGAUUUGGCAUGAAACGUUAUCCGGAACAAACAGGACAAGACAAAGAGGGGUGUGUUUAGGAUUGCUCAGCCCUGUCCCCAAGGGAGGAACUAACUGGAAGACAAGGUCAGUCUUUGCAAGGAAAAAGAACAUUUCAGGCAAUAAUUCAGAAGUUUUGCAUCCACGUUGCGCCACUCCAACUUGAACUUUGGAAAAAUACGAGGCCUUUCCCUGUUUUCAUUCUCCAAACAAGCCUCAGCAAGCUGGGACUGAGUGAUCUUUAUUUCUAAAAAUAAUACCAACUUGGAUCUCUAAGCUGAUUCUCU